rnacentral:rRNA from 1 species
UGCAAGUCGAGCGGUAGCACAGAGAGCUUGCUCUCGGGUGACGAGCGGCGGACGGGUGAGUAAUGUCUGGGAAACUGCCUGAUGGAGGGGGAUAACUACUGGAAACGGUAGCUAAUACCGCAUAACGUCGCAAGACCAAAGUGGGGGACCUUCGGGCCUCAUGCCAUCAGAUGUGCCCAGAUGGGAUUAGCUAGUAGGUGGGGUAACGGCUCACCUAGGCGACGAUCCCUAGCUGGUCUGAGAGGAUGACCAGCCACACUGGAACUGAGACACGGUCCAGACUCCUACGGGAGGCAGCAGUGGGGAAUAUUGCACAAUGGGCGCAAGCCUGAUGCAGCCAUGCCGCGUGUGUGAAGAAGGCCUUCGGGUUGUAAAGCACUUUCAGCGGGGAGGAAGGCGUUAAGGUUAAUAACCUUGGCGAUUGACGUUACCCGCAGAAGAAGCACCGGCUAACUCCGUGCCAGCAGCCGCGGUAAUACGGAGGGUGCAAGCGUUAAUCGGAAUUACUGGGCGUAAAGCGCACGCAGGCGGUCUGUCAAGUCGGAUGUGAAAUCCCCGGGCUCAACCUGGGAACUGCAUUCGAAACUGGCAGGCUAGAGUCUUGUAGAGGGGGGUAGAAUUCCAGGUGUAGCGGUGAAAUGCGUAGAGAUCUGGAGGAAUACCGGUGGCGAAGGCGGCCCCCUGGACAAAGACUGACGCUCAGGUGCGAAAGCGUGGGGAGCAAACAGGAUUAGAUACCCUGGUAGUCCACGCCGUAAACGAUGUCGAUUUGGAGGUUGUGCCCUUGAGGCGUGGCUUCCGGAGCUAACGCGUUAAAUCGACCGCCUGGGGAGUACGGCCGCAAGGUUAAAACUCAAAUGAAUUGACGGGGGCCCGCACAAGCGGUGGAGCAUGUGGUUUAAUUCGAUGCAACGCGAAGAACCUUACCUGGUCUUGACAUCCACAGAACUUUCCAGAGAUGGAUUGGUGCCUUCGGGAACUGUGAGACAGGUGCUGCAUGGCUGUCGUCAGCUCGUGUUGUGAAAUGUUGGGUUAAGUCCCGCAACGAGCGCAACCCUUAUCCUUUGUUGCCAGCGGUCCGGCCGGGAACUCAAAGGAGACUGCCAGUGAUAAACUGGAGGAAGGUGGGGAUGACGUCAAGUCAUCAUGGCCCUUACGACCAGGGCUACACACGUGCUACAAUGGCAUAUACAAAGAGAAGCGACCUCGCGAGAGCAAGCGGACCUCAUAAAGUAUGUCGUAGUCCGGAUUGGAGUCUGCAACUCGACUCCAUGAAGUCGGAAUCGCUAGUAAUCGUAGAUCAGAAUGCUACGGUGAAUACGUUCCCGGGCCUUGUACACACCGCCCGUCACACCAUGGGAGUGGGUUGCAAAAGAAGUAGGUAGCUUAACCUUCGGGAGGGCGCUACCACUUUGA